AUUGAACGCUGGCGGCAUGCCUUACACAUGCAAGUCGAACGGUAACAGGUCUUCGGAUGCUGACGAGUGGCGAACGGGUGAGUAAUACAUCGGAACGUGCCUAGUAGUGGGGGAUAACUACUCGAAAGAGUGGCUAAUACCGCAUGAGAUCUACGGAUGAAAGCAGGGGAUCGCAAGACCUUGUGCUACUAGAGCGGCCGAUGGCAGAUUAGGUAGUUGGUGGGAUAAAAGCGUACCAAGCCGACGAUCUGUAGCUGGUCUGAGAGGACGAUCAGCAACACUGGGACUGAGACACGGCCCAGACUCCUAAGGGAGGCAGCGGUGGGGAAUUUUGGACAAUGGGCGAAAGCCUGAUCCAGCAAUGCCGCGUGCAGGAUGAAGGCCUUCGGGUUGUAAACUGCUUUUGUACGGAACGAAAAGCCCCGGGUUAAUACCCUGGGGUCAUGACGGUACCGUAAGAAUAAGCACCGGCUAACUACGUGCCAGCAGCCGCCGUAA
rnacentral:rRNA from 1 species